GAUGAACGCUAGCUACAGGCUUAACACAUGCAAGUCGAGGGGCAUCAUGGGAGUUGCUUGCAACUUCUGAUGGCGACCGGCGCACGGGUGCGUAACGCGUAUCCAACCUUCCAGCUACUAGGGAAUAGCCCGUUGAAAGACGGAUUAAUGCCCUAUGUGUUCAUUAGAUGGCAUCAGAUGUUGAACAAAGAUUCAUCGGUAGCUGAUGGGGAUGCGUAUGAUUAGCUAGUCGGCGGGGUAACGGCCCACCGGGGCAACGAUCAGUAGGGGUUCUGAGAGGAAGGUCCCCCACAUUGGUACUGAGACACGGACCAAACUCC
rnacentral:rRNA from 1 species